GACGAACGCUGGCGGCGUGCCUAAUACAUGCAAGUCGAGCGAAUUUUUGGGAGCUUGCUCCCAAAGGUUAGCGGCGGACGGGUGAGUAACACGUGGGUAACCUGCCUAUAAGACUGGGAUAACUUCGGGAAACCGGAGCUAAUACCGGAUAAUUCAUAUCUACUCAUGUAGGUAUGCUGAAAGACGGUUUACGCUGUCACUUAUAGAUGGGCCCGCGGCGCAUUAGCUAGUUGGUGAGGUAACGGCUCACCAAGGCAACGAUGCGUAGCCGACCUGAGAGGGUGAUCGGCCACACUGGGACUGAGACACGGCCCAGACUCCUACGGGAGGCAGCAGUAGGGAAUCUUCCGCAAUGGACGAAAGUCUGACGGAGCAACGCCGCGUGAGUGAUGAAGGUUUUCGGAUCGUAAAACUCUGUUGUUAGGGAAGAACAAGUACUAGAGUAACUGCUAGUACCUUGACGGUACCUAACCAGAAAGCCACGGCUAACUACGUGCCAGCCGCCGCGGUAA
rnacentral:rRNA from 1 species